GGGCUCGUAGUCCAUCGGUAGAACGUUCCGUUCGCAACGGAAAGGCAGUGGGUUCAAUGCAAGAAGUGAAAAUCCCACCGAGUCCA
rnacentral:tRNA from 1 species